rnacentral:misc_RNA from 1 species
AAAGGUGCAUGAGUGGUGUUUGGUUUGUUACGGGUGGUUGGCUCUUUGCUUGUGCAACAACUUCCACCUGGCAUACCUCUUCAGUCUUGUGUCAAUGCUUGUAUCGCAUUGAAUGCACGGUGGGUUUCUUGUGUUGCAUGCCUAAUUGAUGGUAUCAUUUGAUGAAUUGAUGUCUAUUUCGUCUUGUGUCGCACAUGCGAUGUGAGAUGAACCUUAAAGCAGCCUUUGUGAUCCACUCUUUUGAUGCACACGCAUUGAUUUUGUGGCCCAUUGAGUUUUGCUUGGUCUCAUGGAUAUGGAACCUUGUGUGGGCAUGGGAUCUUUUACUAGUUCCUUGUUUGCCCUAGUUAAGCUUUUCAAAUACGAUUUCCUAUCAUGUCUUAACGUGGUAGGCUAUAUCGAAUAUGAAUGCUACCUGGUUGAUCCUGCCAGUAGUC